AAUACCGCAUACCUCCUACGGGAGAAAGCAGGGGACCUUCGGGCCUUGCGCUAUCAAAUGAGCCUAGGUCGGAUUAUCUAGUUGGUGGGGUAAUGGCUCACCAGGGCGACGAUCCGUAGCUGGUCUGAGAGGAUGAUCAGUCACACUGGAACUGAGACACGGUCCAGACUCCUACGGGAGGCAGCAGUGGGGAAUAUUGGACAAUGGGCGAAAGCCUGAUCCAGCCAUGCCGCGUGUGUGAAGAAUGUCUUCGGAUUGUAAAGCACUUUAAGUUGGGAGGAAGGGCAUUAACCUAAUACGUUAGUGUUUUGACGUUACCGACAGAAUAAGCACCGGCUAACUCUGUGCCAGCAGCCGCGGUAAUACAGAGGGUGCAAGCGUUAAUCGAAAUUACUGGGCGUAAAGCGCGCGUAGGUGGUUCGUUAAGUUGGAUGUGAAAGCCCCGGGCUCAACCUGGGAACUGCAUUCAAAACUGUCGAGCUAGAGUAUGGUAGAGGGUGGUGGAAUUUCCUGUGUAGCGGUGAUAUGCGUAGAUAUAGGAAGGAACACCAAUGGCGAAGGCGACCACCUGGACUGAUACUGACACUGAGGUGCGAAAGCGUGGGGAGCAGACACGAUUAGAUACCCUGGUAUCGACGCCCGUAAAUAAUGUCAACUAGCCGUUGGGAGCCUUGAGCUCUUAGUGGCGCAGCUAACGCAUUAAGUUGACCGCCUGGGGAGUACGGCCGCAAGGUUAAAACUCAAUGAAUUGACGGGGGCCCGCACAAGCGGUGGAGCAUGUGGUUAAUUCGAAGCACGCG
rnacentral:rRNA from 1 species